UGAUUUGUUGGACGCUAGCGGCGGAUGGGUGAGUAACACGUGGGCAAUCUGCCCUAAAGACUGGGAUACCACUUGGAAACAGGUGCUAAUACCGGAUAACAACAUGAAUCGCAUGAUUCAAGUUUGAAAGGCGGCGCAAGCUGUCACUUUAGGAUGAGCCCGCGGCGCAUUAGCUAGUUGGUGGGGUAAAGGCCUACCAAGGCAAUGAUGCGUAGCCGAGUUGAGAGACUGAUCGGCCACAUUGGGACUGAGACACGGCCCAAACUCCUACGGGAGGCAGCAGUAGGGAAUCUUCCACAAUGGACGCAAGUCUGAUGGAGCAACGCCGCGUGAGUGAAGAAGGUCUUCGGAUCGUAAAGCUCUGUUGUUGGUGAAGAAGGAUAGAGGCAGUAACUGGUCUUUAUUUGACGGUAAUCAACCAGAAAGUCACGGCUAACUACGUGCCAGCAGCCGCGGUAAUACGUAGGUGGCAAGCGUUGUCCGGAUUUAUUGGGCGUAAAGCGAGCGCAGGCGGAAUGAUAAGUCUGAUGUGAAAGCCCACGGCUCAACCGUGGAACUGCAUCGGAAACUGUCAUUCUUGAGUGCAGAAGAGGAGAGUGGAACUCCAUGUGUAGCGGUGGAAUGCGUAGAUAUAUGGAAGAACACCAGUGGCGAAGGCGGCUCUCUGGUCUGCAACUGACGCUGAGGCUCGAAAGCAUGGGUAGCGAACAGGAUUAGAUACCCUGGUAGUCCAUGCCGUAAACGAUGAGCGCUAGGUGUUGGGGACUUUCCGGUCCUCAGUGCCGCAGCAAACGCAUUAAGCGCUCCGCCUGGGGAGUACGACCGCAAGGUUGAAACUCAAAGGAAUUGACGGGGGCCCGCACAAGCGGUGGAGCAUGUGGUUUAAUUCGAAGCAACGCGAAGAACCUUACCAGGUCUUGACAUCCUGCGCUACACCUAGAGAUAGGUGGUUCCCUUCGGGGACGCAGAGACAGGUGGUGCAUGGCUGUCGUCAGCUCGUGUCGUGAGAUGUUGGGUUAAGUCCCGCAACGAGCGCAACCCUUGUCUUUAGUUGCCAUCAUUAAGUUGGGCACUCUA
rnacentral:rRNA from 1 species